rnacentral:lncRNA from 1 species
GAAAGACUUACUGUACUAAAUAAACUGGCCUUCUCUGGAUAUAUCUCUUUAGCAACAGAAAGAAGGCAUUCUUUCUGUUGCUAAAGAGAUGUGCAGCAGCAGGCUCUGCACAGACAAGCUCGUGACUCAUCCAAUCACACCCAAGACUGAAGGCUGUGACAUACUGAACACGAUGCGAAGUGAAGCAUUAGAAAGCAACUUUGGAUUCCAAAUUCUCCCUCCACGAAUGGUCUGCCAGUGCACGCUAUUAGCUUGGCAACUUGAAAAUUUGUUCGCAAUGAUGAAAUAUUUAGGUGCUUC